GAUGAACGCUGGCGGCGUGCCUAAUACAUGCAAGUCGAGCGAACAAACGAGGAGCUUGCUCCUCUGACGUUAGCGGCGGACGGGUGAGUAACACGUGGAUAACCUACCUAUAAGACUGGGAUAACUUCGGGAAACCGGAGCUAAUACCGGAUAAUAUAUUGAACCGCAUGGUUCAAUAGUGAAAGACGGUUUUGCUGUCACUUAUAGAUGGAUCCGCGCCGCAUUAGCUAGUUGGUAAGGUAACGGCUUACCAAGGCAACGAUGCGUAGCCGACCUGAGAGGGUGAUCGGCCACACUGGAACUGAGACACGGUCCAGAAUCCUACGGGAGGCAGCAGUAGGGAAUCUUCCGCAAUGGGCGAAAGCUUGACGGAGCAACGCCGCGUGAGUGAUGAAGGUCUUCGGAUCGUAAAACUCUGUUAUUAGGGAAGAACAAAUGUGUAAGUAACUAUGCACGUCUUGACGGUACCUAAUCAGAAAGCCACGGCUAACUACGUG
rnacentral:rRNA from 1 species